rnacentral:hammerhead_ribozyme from 1 species
AUCCAGCUGAAGAGUCAGAAACAAGACGAAACGUGGGUCCUGGAU